GAUGAACGCGGGCGGCGUGCUUAACACAUGCAAGUCGAACGAUGAAGCCCAGCCUGCUGGGCGGAUUAGUGGCGAACGGGUGAGUAACACGUGAGUAACCUGCCCUUGACUCUGGGAUAAGCCCGGGAAACUGGGUCUAAUACCGGAUAGGAGCGCCUGUCGCAUGACGGGUGCUGGAAAGAUUUUUCGGUCAUGGAUGGACUCGCGGCCUAUCAGCUUGUUGGUGAGGUAACGGCUCACCAAGGCGACGACGGGUAGCCGGCCUGAGAGGGUGACCGGCCACACUGGGACUGAGACACGGCCCAGACUCCUACGGGAGGCAGCAGUGGGGAAUAUUGCACAAUGGGCGGAAGCCUGAUGCAGCGACGCCGCGUGAGGGAUGACGGCCUUCGGGUUGUAAACCUUCUUCCAUAAGGGAA
rnacentral:rRNA from 1 species